AAGUCGUAACAAGGUUUCCGUAGGUGAACCUGCGGAAGGAUCAUUAACACGUAUCCAAACGUUAAAACCCCCCCCCGAGAACUACCGCUCAAAAUUGUAACGUCUCAAAGAAUCUCACGGGCCAGAGGUCUCUGAAUCAAAACUACUUUCCGGGCUAUGAUUUACCAGAGAUUGCAAGCUUCGCGGGUUACAAGAGCAGGAUGAAUGUUCACGUCCCCAAGCAGUCAGUGUCUGAAAGUGUCAUUGAUUGUGCAAGGAUAACGCUUCACGAUUCUUGUAGACCGCAUCUCGCGGGCAGGAGCUAGGCCAAAGGGUCCCCAUGCCCCCUUACAACCCCACAGUUUAAUGUGAAGCUCAAUGUAAUACAUUGGGUAAAAAAACCGAACAACUGUUAACAAUGGAUAUCUUGGUUCUC
rnacentral:misc_RNA from 1 species